UAUGAACGCUGGCGGCAGCCUACACAUGCAAGUCGAGCGGAAACGAAGAGGUGCUUGCACCUCUGGCGUCGAGCGGCGGACGGGUGAGUAAUGCUUGGGAAUAUGCCUUAUGGUGGGGGACAACAGUUGGAAACGACUGCUAAUACCGCAUGAUGUCUACGGACCAAAGUGGGGGACCUUCGGGCCUCACGCCAUAAGAUUAGCCCAAGUGGGAUUAGCUAGUUGGUGAGGUAAUGGCUCACCAAGGCGACGAUCCCUAGCUGGUUUGAGAGGAUGAUCAGCCACACUGGGACUGAGACACGGCCCAGACUCCUACGGGAGGCAGCAGUGGGGAAUAUUGCACAAUGGGCGCAAGCCUGAUGCAGCCAUGCCGCGUGUGUGAAGAAGGCCUUCGGGUUGUAAAGCACUUUCAGUAAGGAGGAAAGGUUAAGUGUUAAUAGCGCUUAGCUGUGACGUUACUUACAGAAGAAGCACCGGCUAACUCCGUGCCAGCAGCCGCGGUAAUACGGAGGGUGCGAGCGUUAAUCGGAAUUACUGGGCGUAAAGCGUACGCAGGCGGUUUGUUAAGCGAGAUGUGAAAGCCCCGGGCUCA
rnacentral:rRNA from 1 species